rnacentral:rRNA from 1 species
GUGGUUUGUCGCGUUGUUCGUGAAAUCUCACGGCUUAACUGUGAGCGUGCGGGCGAUACGGGCAGACUUGAGUACUGCAGGGGAGACUGGAAUUCCUGGUGUAGCGGUGGAAUGCGCAGAUAUCAGGAGGAACACCGGUGGCGAAGGCGGGUCUCUGGGCAGUAACUGACGCUGAGGAGCGAAAGCGUGGGGAGCGAACAGGAUUAGAUACCCUGGUAGUCCACGCCGUAAACGGUGGGUACUAGGUGUGGGUUUCCUUCCUUGGGAUCCGUGCCGUAGCUAACGCAUUAAGUACCCCGCCUGGGGAGUACGGCCGCAAGGCUAAAACUCAAAGAAAUUGACGGGGGCCCGCACAAGCGGCGGAGCAUGUGGAUUAAUUCGAUGCAACGCGAAGAACCUUACCUGGGUUUGACAUGCACAGGACGCCGGCAGAGAUGUCGGUUCCCUUGUGGCCUGUGUGCAGGUGGUGCAUGGCUGUCGUCAGCUCGUGUCGUGAGAUGUUGGGUUAAGUCCCGCAACGAGCGCAACCCUUGUCUCAUGUUGCCAGCGGGUAAUGCCGGGGACUCGUGAGAGACUGCCGGGGUCAACUCGGAGGAAGGUGGGGAUGACGUCAAGUCAUCAUGCCCCUUAUGUCCAGGGCUUCACACAUGCUACAAUGGCCGGUACAAAGGGCUGCGAUGCCGCGAGGUUAAGCGAAUCCUUUUAAAGCCGGUCUCAGUUCGGAUCGGGGUCUGCAACUCGACCCCGUGAAGUCGGAG